ACAUUUGCACUGCACAUAAAUCAUUUUGCAACAUCCAUUUCGAACAUGAAACGCGAGGCGUCUACACGAUGACGUUGCGCCGUACAGUGUUUGUGGGGAGAUAAAAAAUUGGACGAGGUAAAAACUAUUUAAUGACUUUCUAUUUAAUUGCUGGAAUGCUGAUUAUGUCAGACGAAAUUUAUGUUGACUAAUCAAAAAGGAGGUUAAGUGAGAACAGAGUUGCCAUUACUUAUAACUUAUAAAAGAGGUUUAAGGACAACAAGUAGUCAAGGUGGCAAUGUACAAUAAUCCAGUGGAGUGGAGACAGUGGAGUCUACGAAAUUAGAACGAACCCACAUUUAUAACCGGUCAGGUACUAUCGAUUCUCCAAUUCUACACAAUUAAUUGCGAAAGUUCACUGCUGCAACAACGGCAACAUCUACAUAUAAACAAGCCCACAUCAGGUCGUGGUCGAAUAAUUGGUUACAUAAUGAGUAUUAUUAAUAAAACAUAAAUCAUUCUCAAAAGAUAUUUGCAUUGUAUAGUGUUACAACAACUUUAAGCAAAACAUCAUAUUAACAAGAAGUCGAAUUCUUAUAGAAUUCUCAUCGCGUGAAUAUUGUAUUCUUAUAGUGAACGGUCUGGUGGAAAAGCUUAGAAUAAACAUAUUUCUUGGGAUUUCUUGUAUACGGUCUUAUCACAAAUUAGCACAUGGCAGUAAUAUCAGUUCAAAUAAUAGAAAAAAUCACUACAAAAGGAAAGUGUGGAAAGUUGUCACCAGCUUCGAGGUGUCGAUGUACUACCAAAGUCGCCACCAUCACUCGUACUCCCACCACACAAUCCCACACAAUCAUAGUUGCUCCGCUACGAAAGCGUGCAGCUAAAAACAUUGCUCUGAAACAUCGUUGCAAUCGUCGUCAUCCCAAAUGGAAAAACCGAAAAAUCAUUUAUCUUAAUAUUCAACCGCAACAUGGCGAACACAUCGGUGUAUAUAAGUGUGUACAUAUAUAUAAAUAUCUGUGAGCGUUCUGACACGCUAUAAUAGCUGACGAAUGUCGUUCGUUCGUUAAAGAUCGUUGUGCGCCGAACAACGCUAGAAAACUAUGAUCGCGUUCAAACCCGGGUCUGGCUAUGCACACCCGUUUAACGUUGCAUAACUGGCGAGCUGCAGAGGUCCAUAAGGUUUAUGCUUGAAUAUGUGUUCUUGUGUCUCGUCUAUCGCAAAGCCUGGUAAUAUUU